CCCGUGUUUAUUUUACCUUGUUGCUUCGGCGGGCCCGCCUUAACUGGCCGCCGGGGGGCUUACGCCCCCGGGCCCGCGCCCGCCGAAGACACCCUCGAACUCUGUCUGAAGAUUGUAGUCUGAGUGAAAAUAUAAAUUAUUUAAAACUUUCAACAACGGAUCUCUUGGUUCCGGCAUCGAUGAAGAACGCAGCGAAAUGCGAUACGUAAUGUGAAUUGCAAAUUCAGUGAAUCAUCGAGUCUUUGAACGCACAUUGCGCCCCCUGGUAUUCCGGGGGGCAUGCCUGUCCGAGCGUCAUUGCUGCCCUCAAGCACGGCUUGUGUGUUGGGCCCCGUCCUCCGAUCCCGGGGGACGGGCCCGAAAGGCAGCGGCGGCACCGCGUCCGGUCCUCGAGCGUAUGGGGCUUUGUCACCCGCUCUGUAGGCCCGGCCGGCGCUUGCCGAUCAACCCAAAUUUUUAUCCAGGUUGACCUCGGAUCAGGUAGGGAUACCCGCUGAACUUAAGCAUAUCAAUAAGCGG
rnacentral:rRNA from 1 species